UACGAAGGGGGCUAGCGUUGCUCGGAAUGACUGGGCGUAAAGGGCGCGUAGGCGGCUCAUACAGUCAGGCGUGAAAUUCCUGGGCUCAACCUGGGGACUGCGCUUGAGACGUGUGGGCUUGAGUGGGGAAGAGGGUCGUGGAAUUCCCAGUGUAGAGGUGAAAUUCGUAGAUAUUGGGAAGAACACCGGUGGCGAAGGCGGCGACCUGGUCCUUGACUGACGCUGAGGCGCGAAAGCUAGGGGAGCAAACGGG
rnacentral:rRNA from 1 species